rfam:Myotis lucifugus cont2.25044, whole genome shotgun sequence.
GGUGGUUCUCAGGUGAUGCACCCCGGAAUCGGGCUCCCUCCUCUCUGGUUCCAGGUGCGUCACCCGAGAACCACA